UCUCCUUUCCCUCAUCUUCUCAUCUCAUCCUCCUCUAAACAUCAUCUCACUCACACACUAUACAAGAACAUAUUAAGCUGAGAAAUUAAUAAAAUAAAAAAUGCCCUAAAUCGAAAAAAGAUGCUCCAGAAAUCAGAGCAAAAGUCCAAAAGAAGAGGGGAAAUUGAAAGCUAUUUUCGAUUUUGUUUACUUGCUGCAUAUUUUUGGAGUUCUCAAGCUGUUUUGCCGUGGACUGUUGCCAUUGCUCUUGCUAUCUUGUUAAGCUUCAGUUGGUUCUUCGUCCAGCCUUCACUUGGCUUUUUUGGGAUCUUUUGUUUAUGAUCAAGUGGUUGAAAAAGACCAGAAAGAAAGCUCUUUUUGCUUCUGUCGAGAAGAUUAAGGAAGGUUAGCAAUU
rnacentral:lncRNA from 1 species